AAUACGUAGGGUGCAAGCGUUGUCCGGAAUUAUUGGGCGUAAAGAGCUCGUAGGCGGUUUGUUGCGUCGGCUGUGAAAACCUGAGGCUCAACCUCAGGCCUGCAGUCGAUACGAGCAGACUAGAGUGUUGCAGGGGAGACUGGAAUUCCUGGUGUAGCGGUGAAAUGCGCAGAUAUCAGGAGGAACACCGGUGGCGAAGGCGGGUCUCUGGGCAACAACUGACGCUGAGGAGCGAAAGCGUGGGGAGCGAACAGGA
rnacentral:rRNA from 1 species